UUGCACACGUAAGAACCCAGCUCUC
rnacentral:piRNA from 1 species